GGGGUAGUUACGGAUUCGAUUGUUCGCGGAGGGCCUUGUAAGCAUACCGAAGCCCCGGCUUCGUUAAAACGGGAAAUUAAAUUUAAAUGCAAACAAAAAUAAUUUUGCAUUCGCCGCAUAAUUUUUAGCGGCUGUUCGGCGCGGGUUUCCCGUCGGCUUGCGUUCGGGCAUCAUUUUCAGGCGGGGGACGUUCGGCUGGUUUUAAUUGCGGCGAGCCGAUCGCAUUUUGCAAUUCACGGCGGCGCGGGUUUGUUCUUCGAAACGCGCCGAAAGGGAUCAAAGAAGAAAUAAGUAUGUAGAAAGCAGGUUUGAAACGGGUAAGACGGCGGUUCAACUCCGCCCUACUCCACCA
rnacentral:tmRNA from 1 species